GACGAACGCUGGCGGCGUGCUUAACACAUGCAAGUCGAACGAUGAUGCCAGCUUGCUGGUGGAUUAGUGGCGAACGGGUGAGUAACACGUGAGCAACCUGCCCCUGACUUCGGGAUAACCGCGGGAAACCGUGGCUAAUACCGGAUAUGACGCGCUAUCGCAUGGUGGUGUGCGGAAAGAUUUAUCGGUUGGGGAUGGGCCCGCGGCCUAUCCGCUUGUUGGUGGGGUGAUGGCCUACCAAGGCGACGACGGGUAGCCGGCCUGAGAGGGUGACCGGCCACACUGGGACUGAGACACGGCCCAGACGCCUACGGGAGGCAGCAGUGGGGAAUAUUGCACAAUGGGCGCAAGCCUGAUGCAGCGACGCCGCGUGAGGGAUGACGGCCUUCGGGUUGUAAACCUCUUUCAGUAGGGAAGAAGGCCUUCGGGUUGACGGUACCUGCAGAAGAAGCGCCGGCUGACUACGUG
rnacentral:rRNA from 1 species